AUACUUACCUGGCCGGGGAGAUACCAGGAUCACGAAGGUGGUUUUCCCAGGGCGAGGCUUAUCCAUUGCACUCCGGAUGUGCUGACCCCUGCGAUUUCCCCAAACGUGGGAAACUCGACUGCACAAUUUGUGGUAGUGGGCGACUGCGUUCGUGCGCUCCCCUG
rnacentral:snRNA from 1 species